rnacentral:rRNA from 1 species
CGCAUCUGUGCAUGCAGCAUAUCAAUAAGCGGAGGAAAAGAAACUAACAAGGAUUCCCUUAGUAACGGCGAGUGAAGCGGGGAGAGCUCAAAUUUGAAAUCUUCAAGGUUUUACCUUGACGAAUUGUAGUUUAAAGAAGUGUUUUCUGUUGAAGUUUUGGUAAAAGUUCUUUGGAAUAGGACAUCAUAGAGGGUGAGAAUCCCGUAUUUGACCAUUAUUUUCAGCUGUGUGAUACACUUUCAAAGAGUCGGAUUGUUUGGGAAUGCAGUCCAAAAUGGGUGGUAAAUUUCAUCUAAAGCUAAAUAUUGGCGAGAGACCGAUAGCGAACAAGUACCGUGAGGGAAAGAUGAAAAGAACUUUGAAAAGAGAGUUAAACAGUACGUGAAAUUGUCAAAAGGGAAGCGUUUGACACCAGUGUUGUUUUCUCGAAAAUCAAUUAAAAAGAGUUUGAUUUUGUUGUGUAUUGACCUUAACAGCUUGCAUUUCAAUUUUCUUGCUUUUUUUAAUGCACUUUUCGUUUAACAAGUCAACAUCAGUUUCUUUUGUUGUAAAAAGGUCAUUGGAAGGUGGCUUUCUUUUCGGAGAAAGUGUUUAUAGCCUUGGGCUCCUGCAAUCGGAGAGACUGAGGUCUGCAGCGUAGAUCCUUCGGGGUUAGAUACAUUUGUGCUAAGUUAUAGCUUUUUAUAGACAACUUGUUGACUAUGAUUAGUCUUGUAGCUUACUCGCUUAUGCUAUUUUACCUACGCUUAGGAUGUUGAUGUGAUACUGCGAGCA